CGCCGAAUUGUCUGGACUCCGCCCUUCAAUGACCGCUGCCUUGCGAAGCGACCGAGACGAUCCUCUCGCCGAGGCCUGGCUUUACUAAGUUACGAGUCUGGCACUGAAGUCUGAAGCAGCCACAAUUGGGCGGGUUUCUUCUCAAAUGAGAGAAUUCAUCAAAUGUGCUGAAUAUCAAGUCUGUCAUGUCGUCAUAUCUGAGUCAAGACACAAACGCGCUACCAUCAAGUUUAUGCAAGUGUCAUGAAAGUGAGUUAAAGGUAUGUUAAACUGUAAAUCCGUCAGUCUUUCAAUUUCCUUCAGUGCCCAGCCCACUGGCAGAGCAUGCAGGUACUUCAACUUGAAACCAG
rnacentral:lncRNA from 1 species